GGUCGGAGCGGUCGGUCCGCCCCUCACGGGGUGUGUACCAUGUCCAGCUUCGGCCAUCCUCGAGGAGAGCGCAGCUGGCAUUAAGUUGUCGGUUGUGGGAUCCUCGUCAUUUACUGUGAGCAAAAUAGAGUGUUCAAAGCAGGCUUAUGCCGUUGAAUACAUUAGCAUGGAAUAAUAAGAUACGACCUUGGGUCUAUUUUGUUGGUUUGCGGUCCGAGGUA
rnacentral:rRNA from 1 species